UUUCCGUAGGUGAACCUGCGGAAGGAUCAUUACACAUAGCGGGAUCCGGAAGAUAGUCCCCCUGUAGCAAUGAUUACGGGGGGUAGGACUAUCGCCCCGGGCAAUCGGGUCACCCUGCUUUUUGAGCACCAUUCGUUUCCUCGGCGGGCUUGCCCGCCAACGGGGACCCCCGAAAUGCGCUGUAAUGAGCAGUAUCUAUUAGUAAUAAAAAAUUUAACACAACUUUCAACAAUGGAUCUCUUGGCUCUG
rnacentral:misc_RNA from 1 species